AACUCUGGUAUUGAUUGGUGCUUGCAUCAUGAUUUACAUUUGACUGAGUGGCGAACUGGUGAGUAACACGUGGGAAACCUGCCCAGAAGCGGGGGAUAACACCUGGAAACAGAUGCUAAUACCGCAUAACAACUUGGACCGCAUGGUCCGAGCUUGAAAGAUGGCUUCGGCUAUCACUUUUGGAUGGUCCCGCGGCGUAUUAGCUAGAUGGUGGGGUAACGGCUCACCAUGGCAAUGAUACGUAGCCGACCUGAGAGGGUAAUCGGCCACAUUGGGACUGAGACACGGCCCAAACUCCUACGGGAGGCAGCAGUAGGGAAUCUUCCACAAUGGACGAAAGUCUGAUGGAGCAACGCCGCGUGAGUGAAGAAGGGUUUCGGCUCGUAAAACUCUGUUGUUAAAGAAGAACAUAUCUGAGAGUAACUGUUCAGGUAUUGACGGUAUUUAACCAGAAAGCCACGGCUAACUACGUGCCAGCAGCCGCGGUAAUACGUAGGUGGCAAGCGUUGUCCGGAUUUAUUGGGCGUAAAGCGAGCGCAGGCGGUUUUUUAAGUCUGAUGUGAAAGCCUUCGGCUCAACCGAAGAAGUGCAUCGGAAACUGGGAAACUUGAGUGCAGAAGAGGACAGUGGAACUCCAUGUGUAGCGGUGAAAUGCGUAGAUAUAUGGAAGAACACCAGUGGCGAAGGCGGCUGUCUGGUCUGUAACUGACGCUGAGGCUCGAAAGUAUGGGUAGCAAACAGGAUUAGAUACCCUGGUAGUCCAUACCGUAAACGAUGAAUGCUAAGUGUUGGAGGGUUUCCGCCCUUCAGUGCUGCAGCUAACGCAUUAAGCAUUCCGCCUGGGGAGUACGGCCGCAAGGCUGAAACUCAAAGGAAUUGACGGGGGCCCGCACAAGCGGUGGAGCAUGUGGUUUAAUUCGAAGCUACGCGAAGAACCUUACCAGGUCUUGACAUACUAUGCAAAUCUAAGAGAUUAGACGUUCCCUUCGGGGACAUGGAUACAGGUGGUGCAUGGUUGUCGUCAGCUCGUGUCGUGAGAUGUUGGGUUAAGUCCCGCAACGAGCGCAACCCUUAUUAUCAGUUGCCAGCAUUAAGUUGGGCACUCUGGUGAGACUGCCGGUGACAAACCGGAGGAAGGUGGGGAUGACGUCAAAUCAUCAUGCCCCUUAUGACCUGGGCUACACACGUGCUACAAUGGAUGGUACAACGAGUUGCGAACUCGCGAGAGUAAGCUAAUCUCUUAAAGCCAUUCUCAGUUCGGAUUGUAGGCUGCAACUCGCCUACAUGAAGUCGGAAUCGCUAGUAAUCGCGGAUCAGCAUGCCGCGGUGAAUACGUUCCCGGGCCUUGUACACACC
rnacentral:rRNA from 2 species